UACGUAGGGGGCAAGCGUUGUCCGGAUUUAUUGGGCGUAAAGAGCGUGUAGGCGGCUUGGUAGGUCCGUUGUGAAAACUCGAGGCUCAACCUCGAGACGCCGAUGGAAACCAUCAAGCUAGAGUCCGGAAGAGGAGAGUGGAAUUCCUGGUGUAGCGGUGAAAUGCGCAGAUAUCAGGAAGAACACCCGUGGCUAAGGCGGCUCUCUAGUACGGUACUGACGCUGAGACGCGAAAGCGUGGGGAGCGAACAGG
rnacentral:rRNA from 1 species